GAAUUGAUGUACAGCAGUCAGACAGUGUGAGAUAAGUUUCAUUGUCGAAAGGGAAACAGCCCAGAUCUACGACUAAGGUCCCAAAGUUCAAGUUAAGUGGAAAAGGAUGUGCAAUUGCGUAGACAACCAGGAUGUUGGCUUAGUAGCAGCCAUUCAUUCAAAGAGUGCGUAAUAGCUCACUGGUCGAGUGAUUGUGCGCCGAAAAUGUAACGGGGCUAAACUUGACGCCGAAGUCUAGGCAGAAGGAAACUUCUGGGUAGGGGAGCAACGUGUACGGGCAGAAGCAGAAGCGGAAGCGACUGUGGACUGUACAGGAGAGAGAAUGCCGGCAUGAGUAGCGAGAGCAAAGUGAGAAUCUUUGCCGUCGAAAGCCUAAGGUUUCCUGAGGAAGGCUCGUCCUCUCAGGGUAAGUCGGGACCUAAGCCGAGGACAAUAGUCGUAGGCGAUGGACAAUCGGUUAAUAUUCCGAUACCGCCGAGCAACCGGAUGCAGUGACACAGAAGGAUAGGCAGAGCGUGGCGAUGGUAGACCACGUCCAAGCAGUGAGGCUGUUGUGUAGUGAAGUACGCACAACGGAAGGCUGGGCUGUGAUGGGGAACGAUUACGAUCGGUAAGCUGCUGAAUUCACGCUGGCGAGAAAAGCUGCUACGAAGCGAAGGCGCCCGUACCGCAAACCGACACAGGUAGGCGAGGAGAGAAUCCUAAGACGAGCGGGAGAACCCUUGUUAAGGAACUCGGCAAAAUGACUCCGUAACUUAGGGAGAAGGAGUGCCCAGGAAUGGGCCGCAGAGAAUAGACCCAAGCGACUGUUUACCAAAAACACAGGUCUGUGCGAAGUAGAGAUACGACGUAUACGGGCUGACACCUGCCCAGUGCCGGAAGGUUAAGGGGAAAUGUUAGGGCAACCGAAGCAUGGAACUUAAGCCCCGGUGAACGGCGGCCGUAACUAUAACGGUCCUAAGGUAGCGAAAUUCCUUGUCGGGUAAGUUCCGACCCGCACGAAUGGUGUAACGAUUUGGGUACUGUCUCAACAAGGGACCCGGCGAAAUUGUAGUAUGUGUGAAGAUGCACAUUACCCGCGAUAGGACGGAAAGACCCCGUAGAGCUUUACUGUAGUUUAACAUUGGAUUCCGGUAACAUAUGCACAGGAUAGGUGGGAGGCGGAGAAGCAGUGAUUUCGGUUGCUGCAGAGCCGACGUUGGGAUACCACUCUUGUGUUACUGGGGUUCUAACCUGUGGCCGUGAUCCGGCACAGGAACAGUGUUAGAUGGGCAGUUUGACUGGGGCGGUCGCCUCCAAAAGAGUAACGGAGGCGUCCAAAGGUUCCCUCAGAAUGGUUGGAAACCAUUCGAAGAGUGCAAAGGCAGAAGGGAGCCUGACUGCGAGACCGACAGGUCGAGCAGGGACGAAAGUCGGGCUUAGUGAUCCGGCGGUAUAGAGUGGAAUUGCCGUCGCUCAACGGAUAAAAGCUACCUCGGG
rnacentral:rRNA from 1 species